AGCUCUCUGAAUCUGUGCGGAAAUUUCGUCAAACACCACCCUUUCAGGAUUGAUAAAAUUCGCAGGAUAAGUGGAGCA
rfam:Schistosoma margrebowiei strain Zambia genome assembly, scaffold: SMRZ_scaffold0001103